GGUGUGGUCGGGGGCGGUGCUGACCCUGGUCGUGCUGGCGGUGCGGCCGCUGCUGCCCGGCCUGUUCGACGCCGAUCCACAGGUC
rnacentral:tRNA from 1 species